AGAGUUUGAUCCUGGCUCAGGAUGAACGCUGGCGGCGUGCCUAAUACAUGCAAGUGAAACGGGUAUCUUCGGAUACCAGUCGCGGACGGGUGAGUAAUACAUAGGCAACCUGCCUUUAUGAGGGGGAUAACCGAGGGAAACUUUGGCUAAUACCGCAUGAAGACUCUAAGGCAUCUUGGAGGGAUAAAAGUUGGGAAACAACGCAUGAAGAUGGGCUUAUGGCGCAUUAGCUAGUUGGUGAGAUAGAAGCCCACCAAGGUAAUGAUGCGUAGCCGACCUGAGAGGGUGAACGGCCACAUUGGGACUGAGACACGGCCCAAACUCCUACGGGAGGCAGCAGUAGGGAAUUUUCGGCAAUGGGGGGAGCCCUGACCGAGCAACGCCGCCGUGAAGGAAGAAGGUUUUCGGAUUGUAAACUUCUGUUAUAAGGGAAGAACGGAUUGGAUAGGGAAUGAUCUGAUAGUGACGGUACCUUAUUAGAAAGCCACGGCUAACUACGUGCCAGCAGCGGC
rnacentral:rRNA from 1 species